rnacentral:rRNA from 1 species
AUUGAACGCUGGCGGCAUGCCUUACACAUGCAAGUCGAACGGCAGCACGGGAGCAAUCCUGGUGGCGAGUGGCGAACGGGUGAGUAAAGUAUCGGAACGUGCCCAGUCGUGGGGGAUAACGUAGCGAAAGUUACGCUAAUACCGCAUACGAUCUAUGGAUGAAAGCGGGGGAUCGCAAGACCCCGCGCGAUUGGAGCGGCCGAUAUCAGAUUAGGUAGUUGGUGGGGUAAAGGCUCACCAAGCCGACGAUCUGUAGCUGGUCUGAGAGGACGACCAGCCACACUGGGACUGAGACACGGCCAAGACUCCUACGGGAGGCAGCAGUGGGGAAUUUUGGACAAUGGGCGAAAGCCUGAUCCAGCCAUGCCGCGUGCAGGAUGAAGGCCUUCGGGUUGUAAACUGCUUUUGUACGGAACGAAAAGGUUUGGGCUAAUAAGCUGAGCUCAUGACGGUACCGUAAGAAUAAGCACCGGCUAACUACGUGCCAGCAGCCGCCGUAA